rnacentral:rRNA from 1 species
CAAUAGCGUAUAUUAAAGUUGUUGCGGUAAAAAAGCUCGUAGUUGGAUUUCUGUUGAGGACGACCGGUCCAUACCACGUAUGCGUAUCUGGCUCGGCCUCGGCAUCCUCUCGAAAGACGUUUCUGCGCUUGAUUGCGUGGAGCGGAUCUCGGGACUUUUACUUUGAGGAAAUUAGAGUGUUCACGGCAGGCUAUCGCCAGAAUACAUUAGCAUGGAAUAAUACUAUAGGAUCUCGGUUUCUAUUUUUGUUGGUUUCUAGAAUUGAGAUAAUGAUUAAUAGGGACAAUUGGGGCAUUAGUAUCAACACGUCAGAGGUGGAAUUCUUGGAUUGUGUUGCGACUAACUACUGCGAAAGCUAUUUGCCAAGGAUGUUUUACAUU